rnacentral:rRNA from 1 species
AACGAACGCUGGCGGCAGGCUUAACACAUGCAAGUCGAACGCCCCGCAAGGGGAGUGGCAGACGGGUGAGUAACGCGUGGGAACAUACCCUUUCCUGCGGAAUAGCCCCGGGAAACUGGAAUUAAUACCGCAUACGCCCUACGGGGGAAAGAUUUAUCGGGGAAGGAUUGGCCCGCGUUGGAUUAGCUAGUUGGUGGGGUAAGGUCUAUCAAGGCGAGCCUCCUUAGCUGGUUUGAGAGGUAGAUCCGCCACAUUGGGACUGAGACACGGCCCAAACUCCUACGGGAGGCAGCAGUGGGGAAUAUUGGACAAUGGGCGCAAGCCUGAUCCAGCCAUGCCGGGUGAGUGAUGAAGGCCUUAGGGUUGUAAAGCUCUUUCACCGAUGAAGAUAAUGACGGUAGUCGGAGAAGAAGCCCCGGCUAACUUCGUG